rnacentral:rRNA from 1 species
GAACGCUGGCGGCGUGCCUAAUACAUGCAAGUCGAGCGAACGGACGAGAAGCUUGCUUCUCUGAUGUUAGCGGCGGACGGGUGAGUAACACGUGGAUAACCUACCUAUAAGACUGGGAUAACUUCGGGAAACCGGAGCUAAUACCGGAUGAUAUUUUGAACCGCAUGGUUCAAAAGUGAAAGACGGUCUUGCUGCCACUUAUAGAUGGAUCCGCGCUGCAUUAGCUAGUUGGUAAGGUAACGGCUUACCAAGGCAACGAUGCAUAGCCGACCUGAGAGGGUGAUCGGCCACACUGGAACUGAGACACGGUCCAGACUCCUACGGGAGGCAGCGUAGGGAAUCUUCCGCAAUGGGCGAAAGCCUGACGGAGCAACGCCGCGUGAGUGAUGAAGGUCUUCGGAUCGUAAAACUCUGUUAUUAGGGAAGAACAUAUGUGUAAGUAACUGUGCACAUCUUGACGGUACCUAAUCAGAAAGCCACGGCUAACUACGUG